CCCCCUCCCCCCCAAGGAUUCCUCGGAAAAUUUUAGGGGGCCAGAAAGUAGCUCCCUUUGACCUAAGAAUAUCCCCCAAGCUUCAAAUCUUUGCCUCAAUUAGGUAAAAAUUUAGAGGGGAUGGAAAUGACUUAUGGAUCACCCUGUAUAUCGCACGAAUUUCGCCAUAUAUACUGUGAAGUCGAUUUCUUAUAUAUUGACACAUUUCUUAUAUAUUGCACGAUUUUUGCCAUAGGUAGUUUGGAGUCGAUUUCCUAAAUAUUGACACAUUUCUUAUAAAUUGCGACAGUUUCGUAUAUAUAUUUCAAAAUUUCAUAUAUAUUUUGAAUAUUUCAUAUGUUACAUCAUUUCUUAUGUAUUGCUAACAUUCGUAUCUUUAGUUACAAACGGCCCUUCAUAGACGAGAUGGUUCUACGCCUAGAGACGUUUUUUCACUCCACUCAAUCGAUACAUCGAAAGCAGCGGAGCCCCGCGGAAGAUCGCCGUGAAAGAAUCGAUUCUUCGAUCCUAUCGAUCUUUUGGAAGAUCGAUCCAAUAAUCGCCAUCACUACUAGCUCAAGAACUAUUGAAAAGGAUUUGGGAUAUCUUCAUCUUCAUUAUCUUCAAGACGGCAACGUUCAUUACUUCCUAUAUGGCUGCUGUAACCGAAGUAUUUCACCAAUUCGAGACGAUGAUUUAACCCCAGGGUCAACGAAAA